rnacentral:misc_RNA from 1 species
AAGACUAUAGACCUGCGGAGUACCUGCGGAGGGAUCAUUAUUGAAUGAAUUCGGUAGGAUUUGUUGCUGGCUUUUAGGAGCAAUGUGCACCCCUAUCCAAUUUCAACUCCCAUGUGCACACACUGUGAAUCUGGACAAAAACCCUCGAGGAAUAUGAAACCCAUAAACUUCGGUCAAAUAGAAAUAGCUGUGAUAUACGUAUGUAUAAUAUCAUAGCUUUUCUGUUAUUCCAGAUUCAUU